GAUGAACGCUGGCGGCGUGCUUAACACAUGCAAGUCGAACGGUGAACACGGAGCUUGCUCUGUGGGAUCAGUGGCGAACGGGUGAGUAACACGUGAGCAACCUGCCCCUGACUCUGGGAUAAGCGCUGGAAACGGCGUCUAAUACUGGAUAUGUUACGUGACCGCAUGGUCUGCGUUUGUAAAGAUCUUUCGGUAGGGGAUGGACUCGCGGCCUAUCAGCUCGUUGGUGAGGUAAUGGCUCACCAAGGCGUCGACGGGUAGCCGGCCUGAGAGGGUGACCGGCCACCCUGGGACUGCGACACGGACCAGACUCCUACGGGAGGCAGCAGUGGGGAAUAUUGCACAAUGGGCGCAAGCCUGAUGCAGCAACGCCGCGUGAGGGAUGACGGCCUUCGGGUUGUAAACCUCUUUUAGCAGGGAAGAAGCGAAAGUGACGGUACCUGCAGAGAAAGCGCCGGCUAACUACGUG
rnacentral:rRNA from 1 species